GCAGAAGCAAUUUUCAGAAAGGUUGUAAUGAACAAAAUGUUUCAGAUAUUUUGGAGGAUAGACUGUGCAGUGACCUCCACAUAUGAAAUAGGAAACCCUCCAGAUUACAGGGAGGAAAAUUGCAUGAAGAAGCAUGGUAUGCCCAUGAAUCACAUGGCUCAGCAGAUUAUCAAAGAAGACUUUACCACAUUUGAUUAUAUACCAUAUAUCAAUGAAAGCAACUUGAGAGAUUUGAAUAGAAAAUUUCCUCAAGUUAAAAACUGCAAAGCUAAAAUUGAACUACUUGGGUGCUAUGAUUCACCAAAACAACUUGUUAUUGAAAACCCCUGUUAAGGGAAUGACCCUGACUUUGAGAUGGUAUACCAGCAAUGUGUCAGGUGCUGCAGAGCAUUCUUGGAAAAGGCCCAC
rnacentral:lncRNA from 1 species